rnacentral:rRNA from 1 species
UACGGAGGGUGCGAGCGUUGUCCGGAAUCACUGGGCGUAAAGGGCGCGUAGGCGGCCCGUCAAGCGUGUGGUGAAAGCCCGGGGCUCAACCCCGGGUCGGCCGUGCGGACUGGCGGGCUCGAGCACUGUAGGGGAGACUGGAAUUCCUGGUGUAGCGGUGAAAUGCGCAGAUAUCAGGAGGAACACCGGUGGCGAAGGCGGGUCUCUGGGCCGAUACUGACGCUGAGGAGCGAAAGCGUGGGGAGCGAACAGG